CAGCAGGAUGAAGUUGGAGUGGUGUAGUCGACUUGCCCUUUGCUCCAAGACAACCAGCCAGACCUUUCUGCUUGGAGGAGUGUUCAUUGCAUUGGGUUCAAGUCGAAUCCUCCUGAUGAAGUAUUCUGCCAAUGAAGAUAACAAGUAUGAUUAUCUUCCUACGACAGUGAACAUGUGUUCUGAAGUAGUAAAACUGGUCCUAUGUGUAGUGUUGGCACUCUGGAAUAGGAAAAAAGAAAAGGGUUGUAUGGAUCAUCUCUCUGAAUGUUUUUCCUGGAAGAAUAUAUGCAAUUCCAUGAAAUGGUCAGUUCCUGCCUUUCUUUACUUUUUGGAUAACUUGAUUGUCUUCUAUGUACUGUCCUACCUCCAGCCAGCAAUGGCUGUACUCUUCUCAAAUUUUGUCAUUAUAACAACAGCUCUUCUCUUCAGGAUAGUGCUAAAGCGAAGACUCUCUUGGGUACAGUGGGCGUCUCUGGUGAUUUUAUUCCUGUCCAUCGUUGCCCUGACUAGAGGAACUGGAGGCCAUCAGCACAGCUUGGCUGCACAUGGAUUUCAUCACAGUGUGUUUUUCAGGCCAUCUAACCACUGCCUUCUUGCUACUGGACCUGAGGAAGCAUGUGUGGAAAAGGGCAACUGCGCAGCACCAACUUUCCUUCACAGCUUCCAGUGGAAUGUGACCAGUACCAUGGCAGGAGCAUUGAAGCCUCUCCGCCUCAGCCUGGGCCAUCUGCUUAUUCUAGUGCAGUGUUUUGUGUCUGCCCUUGCUAACAUCUACAAUGAAAAGAUGCUGAAAGAUGUGGAUCAGCUUGGGGAAAGCAUCUUCACACAGAACAGCAAACUCUAUGCCUUUGGGGUGCUGUUCAAUGGGCUCAUGCUGGCACUGCAGGCUAAGGACCGGAGACAGAUAGGGAACUGUGGCUUCUUUUAUGGGCACAACAUCUUCUCCGUGGCUCUUAUAUUUGUCACAGCUUUCCUGGGGCUGUCUGUAGCCUUCAUCUUGAAGUUCCGAGACAACAUGUUCCAUGUUAUGACUGCUCAGAUCAACACUGUCAUCAUCACCACUGUGUCUUUCGUCAUCUUUGACUUCAGGCCUUCUCUGGAGUUUUUUUUGGAAGCUCCUGUGGUGCUUCUCUCCAUAUUCAUUUAUAAUGCCAGUAAAGCGAGAGGCCUGGAAUAUGCCACUCUGCGGGACAGGGGAAAACUCAUCAAAGGAGAUGCAUGGGAGAGAUCAAGUGGGGUGUCAUCUAUUUUUGCACUUACUACUAAGCAGCUGUUGUAGAAACGAAUAGCACUGUGUGAGCAUGCAAAGCCAGCUAUAUCUUGUGCUGCAUCACACUGCAUCAGUGUGACCAACAGGUCAAGGAUGGAGAGGAAUUUGAGAGGUUGAACAAACCAAGCAGUGACAUCGAUACAGAUGAAGAUUCCCUUUAGCAUGAGGCUGGCUUGGAGGAAUGCUGUUGCUCACAGUGAGACAGAGUUAAUCUUUUAUUAACAUAGGGAUGAGUCGUUUUUCCCCACUGACAGACUAUUUGGAACUGUUUGGGGGCUGGAUGUCAAAUGUGAAUGAGGACAAUAUUCAAGCUGUAUAUAUGGAGAGUUGUAUUCAUUUGUGCCUGUCUCCCAGUGUCUGGGGAAAUGGAAAUCUGGAAUGCCUUUGUAUCAGCCGGUGAAUUUUACAUGCAGCUUACUUGGCGUAACUUUGAAAGAGCUUGAAUAAAACAAAAGUGUAUUAAACAGUA